CCUUCAUCAAGGAAGUACAGUGAUGGGGCAGAAAAUGGGACUUCUCGUCGUGGUUAUAAAAUUCACAAACCCCAAAACCAACUGGCCGGGUAACAGGUCAGGCUAUGCUCCCAGCACUGAGAGGGAGGGGCUCAGGCUAGAGCAGCAUCCCCUUCUCUGAGCAUCCCUCCGGGCGAGGGCGAGAUCCGUGCCUACCCCCUUCAACUCACGGCAUAAGGAAGUGGUAUCUGUGGAGGGUGGCAAAGGCUUGGCACUCGGGAACGGGCUUGAAGAGCCAAGCUGCUAAGCCUUCCAGCACCUCCCUCGGCGGCUGGGAUUCCUGCAGCUCCUGGGCUGAGGGGCCGUUUGCUGACCGGGACUUUCAGCAUCUUUAGGGUAACAGCUUUUAUUGGCGGUGCACAAGGGCUCAACUGCCAGCCGCUUAGAAGAGCAGUGCUGAAUGCAGCCUCAGUGCUGGGCCUUGAUCCCAUCACCCCCUGCCCCCGUUGUGUGGGUCCAGCCUCUCCAAGGGUGGGGGCCUUCAGGACCUGUGCAGCACCCUCUUCCCUUCCGCACAGGCAGGGGCGCAACAUGGCCGCUAAUGAACGGGCACGGUGUCAUCAGGCAGCAGGGCGGGAUGGGAUGUGAAGAAGCUAAUUUGGAACUGCAACAGGAAGGUAGGGAGGUGGAAUAUGCAGCCCCAACUGCCUUGGGACCUGCCUUUCUCCCUGUGUCAUAAGCGACCUGUUGAAUCAAAAGGGGAGGGGGCUUGCUGGAGCCUCUCCCAGGUGCAGAUACUCCCCCACCCAAGCUUGGAGUCUUUUGACCUUCCAGUUUGCACAGAGUUAUCUGCAGUGGCUUCUCCUCAAUCUUUGCAUGGAGUCCCUGGCUGGGGCGCUGCCGGGCAUGAGCCUUGCCUCACUAACCUGAACGGCUCCCAUCUGGCCCUUUGGUUUAACAGCUUUUCCCUCAAGCUGAAUCAUAUGGCAACAACUACACCAGGCAAGCUGCUGACCUCUCUCCAUCCACGUUCUCCGACUGUGCCCAUCCCUGUGGCAUCUGGCCAGGUGAGAUGGCAGUUAUUCCCAUGCUGAAGUAGCUGCCUUCUUUGCAGGCCUGACUCCUCGAAGGCCGAGGCAAAAGCGCCACCGCUGCUUUAUCUGCGGUGAUAAGUUUAAUCACUCUGGGGGCUGCGGGCUAAACCAACUCCCUGCUCCGCAGCGGAGGGGGGAGGCAGGGUCUUGGAUUUACUGUCUCUGCUUAGGAACGGUGCAGCUGGGCAGCCCCAAGGUCAACUCGGAUGGAUGCUCGCAGCACUGGAUUUACUGAUUCUCUGCUUAGGAACGGUGCAGCAAAGAGCAGCCCCGGGGCCCGGCUGCUCGUGCCCUGCACUGCAAGGCCAGGCCCCAUGCAGGAAAGACAAUCGUAGGUGGAAGAGAGAGCCCAGGAGAAGUGUUAGUAACAUGAACGGUCCUGCUGCCAUGGGCUUGCCUGGGACUGAAGAGCACUGAGGCUGUGGUAAUCCAUUUGAAGGGCUUUUCGGGGCUCUCCCCUCCUGGCUGACAGCCUGACUCCGUCCUGGUUAGCACGUUUCAAAGCCUUGCCCGGCACCAAUUAAAGAAAUUGAUCUGAAGCGCCUGUAUUCAGUGAUGAGCUUGGCCCUACCCAGUCCAGGGGAGGGGGCAAGGAAAGGCCCUGUUUGUGAAAGGCAGGUGAAACACGGGCCUCCCUCUGCCUCCCUGCAUCCGAGGGCCAGCGUUACACAGCAGGUGCGGCUAGAUAGAUCUAGACUAGGUCAGACUAGAUUGAAGUUCCCUUCUGGCCUUGGAAUCUGAAUCUGCUGCUGGGACGGAGCGGGGGUGCUGUAGGGUGAUUCUUACUCCUCCAGGCUUAUUCUCCUCCCCAAGGGGUACCCAGAGCUGAGCGUCAAGCCAUAGAGCUGCCAUGCAGGUCCCGUAGCCUGAUGGCUCAAGCUCUUUGCUGCACUGCAGGAUUUGAACCCAGCUCUCUUGAAAGUGCCUUUGCUCCCUAGAUCAGCAGGGGAUGGCGGGGGGGGGGGGUGGCAUGUUCAGCCCUUAAUGGGGGAUGGAGAGCCACACUGCUGGGGUCUCGGAAGGGCCGGAAGAAUAGUCAGAGAGCAAGGCUGGGGUCAGCCAGGCCAUGUUGUCCUGCUACAGUCCCCCAUGGCCCAUUUCCAUACCGCAGAAACCAGCACCUCGGUUGCUGUUAGCUCAUUUCCGUUUGGGGCUGGGGCAGCAGAGGGGCCAAGGAUUGAGUUGGCAGGGGAAGUCCAAUCCCUGCUUAACCCUAAAGUGAAAACAGAGUCUCUGGUCAUCUUGUGAAGCCAAUUUGUAGGUUGCCUUCUGUGCUCAUGAUUGAGCUGGAGCAGCUGCAGGUCCGUGUUCUGGCAGAACUGGGCAGGCCAAUCCUUGAUGCGAGGGGUCCGUCCCCGCAUGUUUUCGCUGAGGCCUCUGGACUCUGCUCAUGAGCA